rnacentral:rRNA from 1 species
AAUAGAUACCCAGGUAGUCCACGCCGUAAACGAUGAGUGCUAAGUGUUAGGGGGUUUCCGCCCCUUAGUGCUGCAGCUAACGCAUUAAGCACUCCGCCUGGGGAGUACGGCCGCAAGGCUGAAACUCAAAGGAAUUGACGGGGGCCCGCACAAGCGGUGGAGCAUGUGGUUUAAUUCGAAGCAACGCGAAGAACCUUACCAGGUCUUGACAUCCUCUGACAAUCCUAGAGAUAGGACGUUCCCCUUCGGGGGACAGAGUGACAGGUGGUGCAUGGUUGUCGUCAGCUCGUGUCGUGAGAUGUUGGGUUAAGUCCCGCAACGAGCGCAACCCUUGAUCUUAGUUGCCAGCAUUCAGUUGGGCACUCUAAGGUGACUGCCGGUGACAAACCGGAGGAAGGUGGGGAUGACGUCAAAUCAUCAUGCCCCUUAUGACCUGGGCUACACACGUGCUACAAUGGAUGGUACAAAGGGCUGCAAGACCGCGAGGUCAAGCCAAUCCCAUAAAACCAUUCUCAGUUCGGA